rnacentral:rRNA from 1 species
UACAGAGACUGCAAGCGUUAUUCGGAUUCACUGGGCGUAAAGGGUGCGCAGGCGGCCAAGUGUGUUAGGCGUGAAAGCCCGGGGCUUAACCCCGGAAUUGCACCUAAAACUACAUGGCUAGAGCAUUGGAGAGGGUAGCAGAAUUCAUGGUGUAGCAGUGAAAUGCGUAGAUAUCAUGAGGAAUACCAGAGGCGAAGGCGGCUACCUGGACAAUUGCUGACGCUCAGGCACGAAAGCGUGGGGAGCGAACAGG